AUCCCGCUUGGAUUUUCUUCUACCCUAUCUCAUCGGGGUUCUCUCGCACCCCUCCGCCAAAGCCUUGACAUCAUGUCGAGAACACCGGCUCGAUGCUAAAUCAAAAGCGCCGCGCUAAAAAGUCUUCCGCGUAUACACUAUAUUUUCGCUUACCUAACGGGAUCGAGACUAACUUCUUCGAAAUUCUAACAACGGUGAAAUACGAGAAAAAAGUCAUAGAUGAUGUAAUACGAAUAACCCUGCUCAUCGCCCCUCGCUGAUAGUGAGAAAGUUCACUGAGAGAUCUUUCAUUUCAAUAAAACAAUAAAAGUAACAUUCCACCGUUUUCCAGAGAUGUCAAAUAAGUAAAGAUAAGAGACAGAGAGAAAGAUAGAAUAAAAAUAAAAUACAGACAAAUUGUGAAAUCGAAAGAGAAAGAGUCUAAGGAAUAUUUUGUCCCAAGACAGAUGAAAUAAAAGGAGACCAAAGAUACAGAUCUGCAAUAUUUGUGGCGGAUUGCGGCAGAAUGUGAACUUACGCUUUGAUGACUUUUUCAUGGGGCACGAGCAGAGAAUUCCGCACGGCGAUGUAAAUUCGGAAUUCUUUCCGGUACAAAUGCACGUAUAGAUGAGCCUUCUGAACAGGAUAUCAACUGUAUCGAUCUCGACGAUCCGCAACCGAGAUUUCCACGAUUUUCAAGAUUGCAAUGAUUGCGCCAACAUUUCGAUGCCUUUAAUUUCUCUUUGAGUACCCGAGAGACGUUCCAGUGUAAAACGUCAUAACAACACAGUGGAUUCCAAAAUCAUAUGAAAAUCCGGAGCAAUCGCCGUUCGGAGAGAGCUUCCAUUACAUUACCGCUCGCAUAAAAGAUAUUUUCCCGGAUAACCCUUCGAGAAGUGGAUAGCGGUAAUGCAGUAUUCGGCGCGAAUACCGUUUGCCAAAACACGAUCGACGACACUCGUGGCGUUGAAGAGCGCCCGGAGCACCGGAAAGGGUACUUUCGUUUGGAAUGCGGCCAGGGGUGGUUCCGUUCUUGCAAACCCGAUGCAAAUGCUGCACGCGAGAGGCUGCAGUCAAUGCGGUCCGGGAAAAUAACGGUGGACCGAACGUGGUAAAUCGAAGGUGCGUGACAACAUCCGUCAAGUGGAACCGCCGAACGGGAAACGAAUUGCAAGAAUUGGCACUUCCCGCUAGCAGAGAAAUUUAAGAAGACCAUAAUAUUCACUAGCAAGGCAAGAUAUUUCCUCUCUCAACUAAAGCACCAAAAUCGAGAACAACAACAGCGAACCCAAAUUACGAAAGCGGAUGAUAGAGAAGCGCGCGACGGCUUCAUUAACAGCAAUUUAUCACGGAGCCGGGGUGAGCGGGGGUCAACAGCAAGCACCACCAUUAACCGCCUAAGGUCGUUAGGUUGCGGUUUGACAUGAGAACAUGCCCAUAACACCGUUCGGUUAUACGUGUACCCGUCUGUGCCUGCACGGUAAAGCAUAGAGAACCUACGCUUGCGGUGGUGCAAACGCAAGAGGAAGAGGAGGAGGGGGAAAGCGCGACCAGGAGAGAAGGGUUGGCGGAAAGCACGGUGGCAAACGAACGUUAGAGCAAGGGAAUACUUGCCGCUACGUCACGAGCUAACCAUUAGCGGUCGUACCGGGUCUGUGUUUAGACGCUCCGUUAUUGAAUUGGUUACCUACCUACGUUCGCCUGUCCUAGAUAUCGCACCCGAUGUUACACGCUCCGUCGCUAGCAUUAAAACUGACGAGGGUUGUGCGAGAACGCGUCGCAGGCCGCGGAGCAUUAGGUCGAUACGAAAGAGUCUGUCGUCCCUUUCGGCAUUGCUUUAAGUUACUAAUAUUAACUUGCAGACUGCAAGCAAAAAAUAUAUACUAAGUUUUGUAUAUAUUUUCUCUUAAAAGAUUAUAAUUUACUUAUCACAAAAUUUAUUAUGACCUUAUGAUUAAUAAUUCAUCAAAAGCAGCUCUUAGAUAUACAAUAUUUAAGAAAUUAUUUUAGUUAUCUGUUAGAAUAGCUUCAGAGAUGCAACUAAAAAAAAAAAAAAAAUAAAAAAGUGAAAACGUAGUAAUGUUAUGCAAAG